rnacentral:rRNA from 1 species
UUCGCAAUGCCCGAAAGGGUGACGAAGCGACGCCGCGUGUGGGAAGAAGGCCUUCGGGUUGUAAACCACUGUCAGGAGUUAGGAAGUGCAGGAGCGUUAAUAGCGUUCUUGCUUGACUAAGGCUCCAGAGGAAGCCACGGCUAACUCUGUGCCAGCAGCCGCGGUAAUACGGAGGUGGCAAGCGUUGUUCGGAUUCACUGGGUAUAAAGGUCAUGUAGGCGUCCUCUUAAGUCGGGUGUGAAAUCCCUUAGCUCAACUAAGGAACUGCAUUCGAUACUGGGAGGAUUGAGUACGGAAGAGGUAAGCGGAAUUCCAGAAGUAUGGGUGAAAUCAGUAGAUAUCUGGAAGAACACCAUUAGCGAAGGCGGCUUACUGGUCUGAUACUGACGCUGAAUAUGUGAAAGCUAGGGGAGCAAACAGGAUUAGAUACCCUGGUAGUCCUAGCUGUAAACGAUGGGCACUAAGUAGAGGGGUUUU